GCGUCGGCCCCGCCUGUUCUCGCGGGAAUGACGCGCAACAUCUAGGAUGUCAAUCAUCGCGUGUCCUUUGUAGCGGCGACAGUGAUUGGUCUUCAAGAGCAAGUCGUUCCCUAAUUGGCAAGCAAGAUGGCGAGGGUUGUUUUUGUGCUUUGAACUAGGCCGUAGAGCGCCGCCGUGCGGUUCUGUCGUGCUCAGCUUCUUCCGCUGCCUCAGCUUGGGCAUGUGGCCUGUGCUAGUGUAAGGUGUGUGUGUGAGUGAGCCGAAUCCUCGCCCGGGGGUAAAUGUGGCCCGUGCCUAUCUCGCACUCAUAACACGGGAGGAGGCGGUGGCUCGAAUCUACGCACGUAGCAGCCGGGGACGGGCUGACAUCUAUCUGGUUUACUGGGAAAAAUGAGUAACAAACGUUUAUGCUUGCCUGGUGCCAGAGACCAGCAACAUGAAGAAAAAGAUGGUGAAGAAGGCAAAGAUGGCACUCAUGCCAGUACUGUAGCGUUGAGUACUUCUGAGAGAUGUCCAAUUUGUCUGAACAGCCUUUCUCUGGAGGUUGGCUUUCCAGAAGAUUGUUGUCACGCUUUCUGUAUAUCCUGCAUUCUUAAAUGG